UGUGAACAAUGCGGUGCUCACUCCCAUA
rnacentral:piRNA from 1 species